rnacentral:lncRNA from 1 species
AUACACGAUCCAGCAUUAGCCCACCAACCAAUACCAGGUGCACCACCUCGAUAUUCGACAGCUGCACAGUCCAAACCUCAACCCCCACCAUAUAUGCCUUAACUAAUAAUCUUAAUAAGA